rnacentral:lncRNA from 1 species
ACUUCUAAAGUUGGCGGUGUUUCGUACCGGCCGCGGGAUUUCGCGGACUGGGGCGCUGAGGUUCUUUGAGCGGCGUGUGGACCUGAAUUCCCUGGAAACAGGCUGGGGCCGCGAGGGGCCUCCGCUCCGGGCGGGGUCCCCAGAUAGCCCCGCCUCGAAUAAAAAUGACGAGCACGGGUCCUCUCUCGGGCCCGCAGUGGGUGGACUGCGUCGCAGACCCGUAGUGGAGGCGCCCAGCUCGCCGGGGAGAUUCGAGUGGAAACCCUCACGGCCGCCGGUGGUGGGCCCCGGCGCGGCGCUGGGCUCC